CAGCCGCCACGGUAAAACGUAGGGUCCGAGCGUUGUCCGGAAUUAUUGGGCGUAAAGGGCUCGUAGGCGGUUUGUUGCGUCGGGAGUGAAAACCCAGGGCUUAACUUUGGGCUUGCUUUCGAUACGGGCAGACUUGAGGCAUUCAGGGGAGAACGGAAUUCCUGGUGUAGCGGUGAAAUGCGCAGAUAUCAGGAGGAACACCGGUGGCGAAGGCGGUUCUCUGGGAAUGUUCUGACGCUGAGGAGCGAAAGUGUGGGGAGCGAACAGGAUUAGAUACCCCGGUAGUCCCUGUCUCUUAUAA
rnacentral:rRNA from 1 species